ACCUUAGAGACCAUCUAAGUUUGUUAUUGGUAUGAGCUUUUGUGUGCAUGCCAAUGGUAUCUGAAGAAGUGUGCAUGCACACAAAAGCUCAUACCAAUAACAAACUUAGUUGGUCUCUAAGGU